rnacentral:lncRNA from 1 species
AUAUAUAUAUAUCAAACCCUGUUUCUAGCUACAAAUAUUUACACACAAAUAUAAUAGUAGAAAUGAACAGAAAAAAGAAACCAUAAGGACCGUAGACUGUGUUUGUGCAUAUACAAACAUAUAUGUACAGAUACAUAAAUAUACACAGUAUAAUCAUCACGCACAAACCGUAUGGACUAUAUAAAGAUAAGAAACAUAGUGUACACACCUCAUACUGAGAAUCUGGACUUUACAAGCCCAACCCUAUUGAUUUGCUUCCUGUUAACAAAAAUUCUAACAAAUCAAACAUGUACCAAAUUAAAAAUUAAACAAUCAUGGAAUGAAACAUAGAAGAUACUACCUGCCUUUCGUGCUCUCCAUUGAAUAAAACCGAAGAACAAACAAAUCAAAGAAUAAUAGAAUGAAUACCGUGAAAGCUAUACCUGCCACAAUAAUAAGAUUCCGCGGCUGACAGGAAAAACUAAGAGAAGAAAGAAAAUGGGAGAAAUUGUGGCCGGCUUAGCAGAGAAACCAAGGAGAAAAGUCUAGGGUUUUUUUUGGGUAGGGGAGGCUGGAGGCCGCGGUGAGCAAAAAGAGCAUAGAUGGUUAAAUGGCAGUCGGACGGAUAGGGUUUGGGGUAAGGGGAAAGAAUAGGUUUGGGCUG